GAUAGUCUCGUAUAAGCUUGAUCAAUUGUAAGGUAUAUUUUUCACAAAGUAGCAAGACAAUGCUGCUCGCUAUCUCCAGGAAUUCAUGUAUAGUUCACUAUACCCUAAGGAAACUUUACUUAAUACUACUACUAAUCAAUCCAGAAUCGGGUUUUUUUAAAAGGGAUGGAACGCGUAAUGAUAUGCACGUGUCCAUCUCUUGUGAACACACCUCCUACAAGCUGUCCAGCACCGGCAUGAUGAUAAUCGACAAUGGGAACAACAACACAUUGGCAACAUGUAGAUGGAACGACACUCUACACAAAUCGCAAUGUGUACAAUUCUCAGGAACUGAAUCCAGUGCACUUAAGAAUGGUACGCAUGUUACGCUGCCCUAUGAACCGGAUAUGACGGUACGUUGCGUAAUGGAUGGACAGUCUGUAGAAGUGAAUAUUACACGGAAACAAGUCGCAAACACUGGAGGUCAGGAGAUGAAAAUAAUCAACAGCCCUAUGCUUGUUAUAUCCGUAUUUCUUGUGAUAAAGUUCUAUAUCUUAUAGCUCGAACAAUUUACGAAACUUAACAUCGUAAAAAAAAAAAAAGAGGUGCGUUAACAUUUCCCCACAUAUUUUGGAUUGUUAUGCAAUUCAGAACUGUUUUUAUUGUACAGAAAUCGGACUGUCAUUUUAAUUAUGGUAAUGGUUUUCAAUGGCCUGUUUUAACACCAAAAAUUCUUUGCUAUGGAAAAGAAAUCUUAAGUAGAUAUUUCGAUUGUGCAAAACACAGAAAAAGCUCAUCCAAGUAUCAAGGCGAAGUGAGAACAAAUCAGCUAUUCACGGUUUUGUGCCUCUUGCUUUCGAAUGAUAUUCAAUUAAAUCCUGGACCUACUGGUACCUACACCUGUAUAGGUUGUGCGAAUAAUAACACGUCGGAUGUUAAGUUUAAUGGCAAUGAAAAUAUUGAAUGGAUUUGUGAUUCGUGUAUCAACGACAUAGCUGAAAACUUCUACAACACCGAGAAAAUAGAAGAAAAUGAUAUUAAUCUCCCUAAAGGUACAAAAUUUGCCCAUGUGAAUCAAUGUGGUUUAAUGAAUAAACUGGACCAAAUCAGAAUUUUACUGAAAGAUGGGAUUUACGAUAUUCUGGCAAUCUCUGAAAGUAAACUAGAUUCAAAUAUCACAGAUUCUGCAAUACGGGUAAACGGGUACCACAUUGUACGCAGAGAUCGCAAUAGACAUGGUGGAGGGGUCCUAAUGUACAUUAAAGAGAAAUGGGCAAUUAAAAACUUAUGCAAGUGUGAAAUGUUUGAAAUGCUUACUGUGGAUAUUAAAUUAAUUAACUCUCCAACAAUAAAUAUUGGGGUUGUGUAUCGACCACCGGAUUCAAACACCCAAUCGCUAGAAAUUUUUUAGGAGUAUAUCGAAGAUAUAACAAGUAGUGGUCAUGAACGUGUAAUAAUGAGUGACUUCAAUAUUGACCAACUGAAAACAUUAAAUGUCAAACGAUCCAUGGAAACUUUAGGUUUAGAACAGACUAUUACGAAACCCACCCGAGUAACAAAAGAUUCAAGCACGCUCAUCGAUCACAUCUACGUAAACGUGCGUGAAGUUUACAGCUCAUCCGGUGUAGUGCCAAUAGAUCUGAGUGAUCAUCACCUGGUGUAUGUCGUCCGAAAGAAAAAUAAGCGUGACACACAAACUGAUCAUAUAUAUAUGAAAUACAGAGAUCAGAAGAAAUUUGACGAAAAUGGUUUUCUCAGGGAUCUGCGGGGUGUUGAAUGGAAUGACAUUAAAUCUUUUAACAACGUAAAUCAAAUGUGGUCAACAUUUAAGAAGCUUUUUAUGGAAAUAGUUGACGUACAUAUGCCAGUCAAAAAGCGCCGUAUCAGGGCCGAUUCCGAAAAAUGGAUUAACGACGACGUUCUAUCUGAAAUUCGUCAAAGGGAUUUUCUCCAUUGGAAGGCUCUAAGAUCCAGCCAGGAAUCGGACUGGGCCUUAUAUCGAUCAGCAAGUCGUUUUGUAAAAAUAAUCGGUGAUGCUAAAAGGGAAUUUGUUGACAAUGCGAUAAAUCAAUGCAGUGACAAACCUAAGGAUAUGUGGACAAGAUAAAAGCAAUUUCUAUUAUCUAAAUAUGCAGGCGCAUCAGCAUCCUACCUAGGAAUUGAUGGCGAAGUAAUUUCAGACUCCCAUAAAAUUUCAAAUGCCUUCACUGAUUUUUUUUUGUGGCAUAGGUCAUAAAUUUGCGACAAAUUUUGAUGAUUCGCUCCCGAAAAUUGAACAACUAAUGCCGAAAGCCUCAUUUACAAUUGCAAAUGUAUCUACAGGAUUUUUGAAGAAAGAAAUUAAAAGCAUGUCAAGUUCAAAAGCUACAAGUAUGGAUGAAAUUUCUGUAAAAUUACUGAAAGUGAGUAUUGAUGUUAUAGCUGACAUAUUGUGUUUCAUCAUGAAUUUCUCUAUACAGGAGGGUGACGUUGUAAAUGAAUGGAAAAAGGUUAGAGUCACCCCGCUUUUCAAAUCUUGGGACAAUUUCCAUGUUGAUAAUUAUAGACCGGUAUCUCUUUUAUCUAUCAAAAGUAAAAUUGUGGAAAGACAUGUUUUAACACUAUUUACGAGUAUUUGAAUGCAAAUAAUCUUUUAACAGAGCAUCAAUCAGGUUUCAGACCAAAACAUUCUUGCUAAACUGCUUUACAUAAUAUCAUUGAUAAAUGGCUUGAGAACAUUGAUAAAGGGAAACUUACAGGUGUACUUUUUAAUGAUUUAAGCAAAGCAUUUGACAUAGUUAAUCAUGAUGUAUUGAUGCACGAAUUUUUAUCGUAUGGUAUAUGUGAAAAAACUUUUAAAUGGUUUCAUGCUUAUCUAUAUGAAAGAUCGCAAUGUGACAAAUGGAAAGGGACCAUCUCAAAGGAAAAAGAUGUUACAAUCGGAGCCACUCAGGGUUUUAUAUCAGUCCUCUGUAUUGUAUUCUGUUUGUAAAUGACUACCCAACAUGUCUCAAGCAUCCUACAGUCAAUAUAUAUGUAGAUGAUACCACGCAAGAUGUUUCGACAAAUCUUUAGAUGUUAUGAAAAAAAGUUAAAGGAUGAUCUUAUAAAUUCUAUGGAAUGGAUGCAUAAAAACAAGUUGACAAUAAAUUUAAAGAAAGCAUAAUGUAUUUUAAUAGGAACGUCAUAGAAAUUAUCGAAAUGUAGAAACCUUUGUAUUAGUGUUGGUGAAUUUUUUAUAGAAAAUGUCAAAUGUGCCAAACUUGUAGAUGUUUACAUCGAUGAAUGUCUUACGUGGUCUUACUGCACAGAUGCCUUAUGUAAAAAAAAAAAAAAAAAAAAAAAAAAAAAACUUAGUCAGAAACUAGGUGUUUUAACGAGAUUGAGUACUUUUAUGUCAAAGGAGGCACUACUCAAAAUUUAUAAUACUAUUGUUUUUCCUCAUUUUAAUUAUUGCUGUACAGUAUGGCAGGAUACAAAGAAAAAGACAAAUAUUGAUAGGCUUUUUAAAUUACAAAAGAGGACAGCAAGGAUCAUUUUACAUACCAAAGUACCUCAUUCAGUGUCAACCUCUUUUCCAUGCCAUCAAAUUUGAGAUUGAUGCCUUUGAUUGACUAUUUCAUUUAUCGAAAUAUUAUUCUUAUGUUUAAAGUUUUACAUCAUAUGACUCCAGAGUAUUUGCAUGUUUUUAGAUUUGUGAAUGAGGUAAACACUAGAAAUACAAGACAGAGCUCUACUAAUUUUAUUUAUUUUAGAAGAGCCAAAACAGAAUAUUUUAGACGAUCUUUUAUCAUUUCAGCAGCAAUUUUAUGUAACUCAUUAGCAGAUUUCAUAAGAAAAUGCACAACUACCACAUCUUUUAAAUCAGCCUAUCUAAAACAUUAUUAUGACCCUCAAUGAUACUCGUGUGUUUAGUGUCUCUUUUCAUUUAGUUCUUAUCUGUAUGUAUAUAAAUUGUGAUAUUUCCAUGCUAUGUGAUAUAUGUUCUCGAUAUGUACAUGUAUAUUUAUAGACAUGACCACAAUGUAAACUAGUUCAUACAACUAAUUGUGUAAUCAUUUAUAAAUAAACGAUAUUAUUAUAACAAUUAGA